AGAAGAAUGGCUGAGUGGCUUAAAGCGAAGAUCUGCUAAAUCUUUAUAUAAAAAAAAUUUAUAUCGAGGGUUCAAAUCCCUCUUCUUCUA
rnacentral:tRNA from 1 species